ACCCCAUGGACUGCAGCCCACCAGGCUCCUCCAUCCAUGGGAUUUAAAGCAAAUAAACAAACAGAAGACAAGAACUCCCCACAUGAGACCAUCUGGGCUCAGCGCUUGGGCAACUCCUGACACAGGAUGUGCUCACCUAAUGUCCACAGCGACGCUGAUGACACUCGGGCGUCCCGUGUCUCCUGGCUUGCACUUCUUUCUGCCCUUCCCUGUCACUUCCCUCCCUCAAAAGUCGCCUCCUCCAGGAAGUCCUCCAUGAAAAUGUCAUUCAUGAUUGCUGGUAGAACCGGGAGUACAGGAGCGGGGUUGCCCUGGAUGAAACUCCGGCCCCCAGCCCUCCUCCUGUUCUAGCCUUCCAGCCUCCUCUGAUCCAGGUGUCUUCCCAGAAACCACUGGCCAAAGGUCCAGGCUUUUCUGUCGCUCUUGUCCUGACCUACAGGAAAUCUGGGUCGCUGAGCCCAGCCCCCUGCCCCUUGGCAGGCCGGUUCUUAGACUGGCUUGGCGAAAGGGGGUCUCAGCGUCUUUGUGCGUUUCCGGGGAACAGGGUUCCACACGCAUCACGUGUCCCUCGCGAGCUGGCCUGCUCGCUUGCUCACACACUCGCUGGGUCCCACGGUUGCUCGUCGGCGGGUCACGCCUGGCCAGGCGUGCAGAGCACUUGCCCUGCUCCAGGGGCUGAGCUGGGCGCUUCGUCUGUAUUCACCCAUCGGACGCUUGCACGGCGUCAGGAGGGAGCCGCGGCCCCACGGCCCUCUCACGGGUGAGGACGCGGAGGCGCUCUCUCCCUGAGCGCUUGGUGGCCGGGCUCUGGGCUGCAGCUUGAUCUACAUCUGCCCCUUCCAUCCCCGCAGCACCCUGUGAUGGCUCUUGCAAUUCUAGGCGAGCCCAAAGCCUACGCAAUUUGGAGAGACUCUAAGAAGACCAAAGCAUCUUACUUCUGUAAAUGGCCCAACACACGCCAGCUGGGUGGACCCCCUGGUGAACUCCCUCUCGGAUUCUCGGGGGGCUCUGCGAGCCUACGCUCCCUUGGCUUCCGGGAAAAUCAGCCUGUGCUCAGAGGGGCGAGCUGACCCUCCCCGGGUCCCCCAGCUCAUGUGGAAGAGAUCUGACCCGAGUUCCCGGGGAAACCGCCCUCUCCAUGCCCUCCCCCGCAGCCACUCUCUCAGCCUUGCCUCAUUCUCCAGGUGAACUGGGCCAGUGAGGCGGGCCUCCAUCUGGCUCUGGGGUGGGGCAGUCAGAAACCCAGGCUUGGACCUUCAGAAUCACCUUGGGAGCUUGUCAAGAAUCCAUGGUCCUGGGCCUGCCCCCGCAGAUACAGCGUUAGUGGGUCUGAGCCAGGGCCUGGAAAUCUGUAUUUUCAGUGGGGCCCCCCAGUGAGGCUGCUCAGCCACUCCCUUUGGGGACAUGCUGCUUCUGGGACACCCCCUUCUGCCCUGUCGCCUGGCUGUGUCUGGCUCCCUGCCAGGCUGGGCCUGGCACCACGGCUGAGCAGGCCUCAUUUCUCAGGUAUGCAAUUAGCAGCCCCAAGAACAAUACGCUGUUUUAAUCAUUACAGCUCCCAGCCCGUCUGGUAAUUUGCUGCCUCUUUUACUGCAAUAACAAGCUCUGGCUUGGGAACAGGGGCGGAGCGCCGGGCUUUCAUCCCAGCCUUCCCACACGCCUGCAGUGGGGCCUGCGGGAGAGCCGGAGACACACCUCACACGUGGACAACCCGGGAAGGCUUCCCGGGGGAAGUGGCUGUGGGCUGUCCAUCAGCAGGACCCAGAAAGGGGCUGGAAUUUGGCCCAGUGCUGGGGAGAUAGUGGUAGACACGUGGUGAACACCAUUCACGCCCUCGUGGGGCCCACCCUCUUAUUAGAGAUCGCAGAGUAGAGAAGCCGCUGCACCCAGCAGGUCACAUGUGGCUGUGGUCGAAAGGGGGCCCCAUCUCGGCUGCGGUGGGGGCAGGGUUCAGGGCAGGCUUCCUGGGAGGAGGUGGUGUCCCUGCUGAGCCGUGGAGGGCAAGUAGGGCUGGGCCAGGCAAAGGGGGGCGUGGAUUGGGAUGGUGGAUGAGUUUUCUAGUCCCAAGGAAGUGCGUGUGCAGAGACCAGUGAGGCGUAAGUGGGACCCCAUCAUCCAGGCUGAGGGCUGGAACCCCAUCCGAAGGGGCCUGUGUCGCGGGUUUUUUUCUUUUUUCCGAAGACGGCUAUAGCAUGCUCUCCAAUCUCGCUUGCUCUUCUUUCAACGUGAUUUGACAUUCCUCCCCUCCAGUGCUGGGGUCUCUGUCCGCUUCCUUGGGCCCGGGAGGGGCUUCCUAGGUACACGGUGGAGCUUUGUGGAUGACACUCUGUGAUCUCCAAAGUCAGUUCAUAAAAAUGCUUUGCCACCUUGCUCUCUCAGGAUAUUUGUUCUUUGAACCCGCCUGCCAUGCUGGGAGGAAGCCCAAACUCAUCUGCUUGGAGAGACCCUGGGUAAGUGGUCCAGCCAACAGCCCUGCUGAGGUCCUGCUGAUGGCCCGCAUCAGCAACCAGGCAUGUGAGCGAAGACCUCUCCAGAUGGUUCCAGCCCCACCCACAGAGGCACUCAGCAUUGAGUUUUCCCAGCUGAGGCCCCAAACAUCACAGAGCGGGGUCAGGGCAUCCCCGAUGGGCUCUGUCCACUCUUGACCAACAAGACUCUGAGCGUAAUAAGGUGGCGGUUGUAUGCGGCUAAGUUUCGGGUAGUUUGGUGAAGACGGUGGAGGGAUGUUCUCUGGAGAGUGGGUGGGGAGGGCUGAGGCCGGAGACGGGGUCUGCUAGUGAAAUACAUAAAACUUCUAACUCCAGCAUUGGGACCGUGUUUGCCCAGCCCCCAGCAGUGUGGGAACCCCAGGUACACGGUGCCAUCCAGCCUCCGCCCGCACGCGGCCUCACCAGGCUGCCCUCCCCUUGGUCUCAGCUCUGGGUGUCACCGUGUUCUUUCUCAGGUCCAGUCAGCAUCUGUGUCCCUGCAGCAUCCUGGUGUUGGCAUCGCUCUGUCCUCAGAAUUCCCACGCACUCCUUCUCUCCUAUUCUGUCCUUUGAGGACUUGCCGAAGGUGACAGUCUAUUCUUCCACAGAAACAGCAGCUGUGGUUGCGUCAACUGCUCCUCGUAUGGUUUGAGUUGAAGACACGGGUUCAGGAGGAAGCUUCGCCAUGUCCAGCUGAGUGGCUUGGGCUCACCUACCCAAGUCUCUGCAGAGUUCUCUUCGGAGACAGGGAUAACAACAGUGCCUGCCUGCCUCCUCUCAGUACUGAGGGUGACAUGAGUCGACAAGGUAUUUAGCGCAGGGCAGGGGCUCCCUGGUGGCUCAGAUGGUAAAGAAUCCGCCUGUAAUGCAGAAGACCUGGGUUUGAUCCCUGGGUCGGGAAGAUCUCUUGGAGAAGGGAAUGGCGCCCCACUUUAGUAUUCUUGCCUGGAGAAUCCUGUGGACAGAGCAGCCCGGGGGGCUGCAGUCCAUGGGGUCACAAAGAGUCGGACACGACUGAGUGACUAACAUUUUAACAGGGGCUCAGUCAAUGUCAGCUCACACAAUGGGACCUAACCCUUGUCUCGCUGCCUCUUGUGGCUGUUGUCAAAAACAGUUGAGCUGGGACUUCCUGGUGGACUCCACACUCCCAGUGCAGGGGCCCGGGUUCGAUCUCUGGUCGAGGAACAAGAUCCCACAUGCUGCAACUACAGAUCCCUCAGGCUGCAACGAAGAUCAAAGGUCCUAUUUGCUUCAAGAUGUGGUGCAACCCCCCAAUGCAUUUUUUAAACAAAAAAAAAAAUUGAGCCAAAGAGCAGGAAAGGAUUUUAUGCACUGCGAAUUGCCAGGGUAGGAGAGGAGCUUGGCUGUCACUCUUUAUGAUCAUCUUGAAACAACUCAGUAUUGACCUAACCUGCUCUGGGGACCAGGAAGGGGUUAUGGGGACACUGGGAGGGCAUUGUCCUCCAGAGUCAAAGGUGGCUCUGUUCACAGCUGUCACCCUCUCUCCCCCAGCCUGGCUUCUGGCCCAGCCGCCCACAGAGAUAAAGUCUCUGCCUGUACCGUCCCACGCCCACCAUUUCCUUGUCAGGGUGAGGUCAUGGUCAGGGACAGGGACUUUCUGAAACAGCUGAGGGUGCUGAGGGGCUGGGCCUUGGUGGGAGUGGGGUUCACAAAUCCCUAGCCUCCCCUUUGGACACUGAGACCCUGCGGCUGCCACCUCGCCGUGUCCAGGGUUCCCUGGAUGGUGUGCAGGAGAGGUGCAGGGCUCAUGCUGACUCAGGUGGCCGUGGGCUGCCAGGGUGGCGGGGACAGUGGGAAUCCUGGGGCCCCCACGGGGCAAGGAAGGGGGCCUGGAGGCCGAGGGGCCUCGCCCUUCCCCCACCUCCAGGACAGACUGUCCGGUUGGACCUGACUCACACAGUGCACUUCCAUGUAAGAGUUUGAAAAAAAGUUAAAAAAAAAAAAAAAAUGAAGUCAAGAUUUUAAAUCAUUUACUGUAGUCCACUGAGCCUAUAAAGGGGAAUGGAUGGCCCAGGUCACAUGACCAGGCAGCGGCAGAAAUGGAACCAGAGCCUGAGGGAAUAGAGACUUGCUCUCUGCUUCUCCAAGCAUCCAUCUCCCCUUUCCCAUUUCUCUUACCAGAGCAGGGACCAAGGACUGGAGCCCGUGAUUCAAACUAAGCCAAUUGGUGCGUUCUGUUUCUCUGGCCACAGGGAUUGGCUCAGAGGUGAACAUGUGACCAAAGCAGGACCAAUCAGAGUGAAUCCCAGGACUUGGAGCUGGGAAUGCUGGGAGUGACAGGCUUUCUCCUUUCUACUCCAAGUGAUGGAGGUGAGCCCCCUUGGGCCAGGGCCGGGCCAGCCGGUGAGAGGGACCAGCCCUGCAAGAGGUUGAGAGAAGGUGCAGAGCACUUGUAUCCAGCCUCACUUGCUGCCAGAGAUUUUGACCUCUUCAUUGAUGUGAUGCUUUUGAACUGAGGUGUUGUAAAGACUCUUGAGAGUCCCUUGGACUGCAAGGAGAUCCAACCAGUCCGUCCUAAAGGAGAUCAGUCCGGAGUUUUCACUGGAAGGACUGAUGCUGAAGCUGAAACUCCAAUACUUUGGCCAUCUGAUGCGAAGAGCUGACUUGUUUGAAAAGACCCUGAUGCUGGGAAAGAUUGAGGGCAAGAGGAGAAGGGGAUGACAGAGGAUGAGAUGGUUGGAUGGCAUCGCCCACUCAAUGGACAUGAGUUUGAGCCAGCUCUGGGAGUUGGUGAUGGACAGAGAAGCCUGGCGUGCUGCAAAGAGUCAGACAUGACUGAGCGACUGAACUGAACUGAACUGAAGUUUAAAUCAGAGGCCAAGUUCAGCUACACAGCGCUCUAACUGAAAGGAUCUUCCUGUGCAGCUAUCUCUUGUUCCCAGGCCUGGGAGACUGCCAUGGCCAACAGGGCACUUGCGAGGUCACGGCCCUUUGACCUCUGCGCCUCUUCUCCAGGUUGCUCUCAUCCCCCACCCUCUGAAGCUCGCUGUAGAACCCAGACAGGCACCCAGGGGCUCCUCGCUUGUCCCUUGAAACCAGCGGGGCUGCCUUUCUCACUGGGGCCAUCCCGCCACAGCCCACCCACCAUCCACAAGCCCCAGGCGCUUCUGACCCUGAAUCAUCCACCUUCAGAGGCCUCCGCACCUGAGCUAUCAGGAAGACGCCUUCCCAGCCGAAUUCCCCUCUCACCCUCUGGCUGGGAGUGGCACGAGGAAAGCUUAGAGGGGGCUGCCUCCUAGCUGGUCAUGAGCCAGCUGUGUCCCAGGCGUCUGGAGGCCGCCCAGGGGCUCUUCUCCAGAUGAGGAAAGUGAGGCUCACGGGUGUGAUUUGCUUUCGGGUUUUUGUUGGCUGAGCUGGGCCUCCUAAAUCCCACUCCAGGGUUCUUCCCGGGAACGCCUGUUGCUUCAGGAGGUAAGAGGUGAGCUGGGCUGCCCAAGGAGACUUGCCACCGUGGCUCUGCUCUGUCUCCCACGAUCAGUGCCCUUUCCCGCCCGCACCUCCUCCCACACACUCACAGCCUGCCACAGCCCUCUGCCCAAACCACGAGGUUGAAGAAUCACCCAAUGCAGGGAUUUCCGAGACCCCAUCAUUCACCUCGUCUGCCUGCAGAAAACAGCGGCCGAGCUGCUCUAGAUGGAAAACCAGCCUCUGCUUUGCAGGCCCACCAGGGGGCUUCGCUGGCGGCUCACGGGUAAGGAAUCCGCCUGCCAGUGUAGGAGACACGGGCUCGGUCCGUGGUCCGGGAGGAUCCUGCAGGCCAUGGACCAACCAAGCCCUUGAGCCACAACUAUUGAGCCUGUGCUCUAGAGCCCCGGGACUGUAUCUACUGAGCACAUAAACCGCAGCUACUGAAGCCCAUGAGCCCUGGAGCCCACGUUCCCCAGCAAGAGACGCUAUUGCCAUGAGAAGCCCCUGCUCACCGCAACUGGAGAAAAGACCAUGCAGCCAAAAACCCAGCAGAACCCCAAAAUAAAUAAAUUAAUUUAAAAAAGGACCUCCUACGUACUCACAGGAUUCUCUCUCAAAUAGUUGUGAGCAGGACUGAGGAGACAGUGGGCUGAGAUGCAGGAUCACCCAGCGGCAGGAAGAGCAGCACAGCAAAACUCGCUCUCAGCUUUCUGCCAGGUGAGUUUAAUAGCCUUUAUUGUUUCGACUGAGAGGUCCAUUAAUCUCCCAAGUGUUACCUGACAGUAAUUAACAAUCGGCAGCAGCGAAGUAGCAGUAAGCGUGCAGAACAACAGAGGGUUUUGGCUCGAUGGAUCACGUGGUCUGCUUGCGUUCUCUGUCCACGUGCCGUUGAAAAAGGAGCCACGGACACGUCAUCUUUCCUUUUACGGCUUCAUUCAUGAUUUUCACCUUCAAGGAUGGGUUAAAAAAAAUAAAGAAAUUUUAAAAACGACUUCCGGGAUGCAGGCUGUAUCGUCACGCCUCUCGCUCUGCUCCCUGUGGACUCCAGCACUCUCUCGUGGAAGUCUUCCUGGUGUGUGACCUUCAUCCCUCAGCCUGCCGUGUAGCCUCCUUCCCCUGGGGCUGGCCUCCGGGAUCAGCUGGGAGGUGGGGGUUGUGGAAAACCAGCCUGGAACAUCUGAACGGGAUGAGCUCCUGGUGGAGGGCGACGGCGGCUUCUUGCCCCCGCUCUUGCUCUGAGUGUCCUGGAGGAGUACCCCAUGCGCUCAGUCCUCCCAGGAAGAAAGGAAGCCACUUUCCAGCAGCAGCCAGGAGACAACAGUGUGAGGCAAUGACUUUUGAACGUUUCGAUUAAACUCACUGUGAGAAAUGUAUUUUCAUCCCCAUUUUCCAACAACACGCACACAUACCCACCUGAAGCCACAGCUUUAUGACAGCAGCCUUCCAUGACGGUGUGAACUGCUUUUUGUUUUUUUUUUUAAGCUCUCUUCCACCUUAUUCUAUUAAAAAGUUGUGCUCAGGAUCCACUGCACUGAUUUCACACCCCACGAGUGGGUGACAGCCUGCAGACUGAACAACGUGGAUGUAAGUGAGCAGGAACGCAGGCUCUGGGGACAGGCUUGCCUGUGCCUUGCUGCUAUUAGUAAAGCAAGCGCAAAGCUCCCGAGUUCGCAGGGCUGCCGUGAAGGCUGGAAAUACAGCGGGGAAGGCACGUGGCGUUCGGCAACGGCACAGGGAGCAGGGCCCGGUGGCUCUUGCUGCACGGAUGUGCCCAUUAUGGGGUUAGGGAAGGCGGGCUGUCGCCUCUGGGCUGUGAUUCGGGGGCACCCUGCCUGAGUGUGUCUCUCCACCCAGCAGGAUCUCACUGAAUCGCGUUAGAGAGUCGUUCCUUUACACUGAGCGUCGCCCUGCCCAGCUUGGGUGCCUUUCUGUGUAAAUUUACCCGGCUGCAGGUUGUGACCUGGGUCCCCAGUACUUUGGACAAAUGAGUUUGCCAUACUCUCCCAGCCCUGAAGGAUAAGAGGGAAGGAAAACCGGGGCAGAGAACGUGUCUGGGAUGUGGUGGGAGGGACUUCACUGGCGGUCCAGUGGUUACGAGUCUGCCUUCCAAUGCGGGGGAUGGGGGUUCAGUUCCUGGAAGGGACGUAAGAUCCCACGGGCUGCAAUUAAGACCCAGCACGGCCAAAUAAACAAACAUAUUUUAAAAGAAGAAGUUGAUGGGAGACCUGGAAGGUCUUUCCAGACACCUGGACUUAGAGCCUAGCCUGUGCCCACCCCGCCGCACCCCACCCCACCCUGCCCACCAGCCCCCGUCUCCCUUAAACAAGAGACACUCUGUGGUGUGGGUCUGGCCUCCCCAGCCACAGGCUGAGUUGUGGGGUCAGUCCCUUCACUUCCCGGAGCCCCAGGUUCCCCUCGGUCAUGCUGUGGUGAGAUUUCAAUGAAACGGUGCCUGUGAAGUAGCUCACACCACUGCUGGCGCACAGUAGGACCCCACGCGUCUUCGUUUCCUCUUUCCAACUCAUCUUCCCUCCCGACAUACUCCCUAAAAACCAGCUCUUGGGAACAGAUCUGCCUUGCGAGGAGUGGGCUCCCCAUCACUGGAAGAAUCUCCCUAAAAAAGGCUCGAGAACGAACAGCCAUGGUAGGAGAGAUUGAGACUGUUCUGAUUUGGGGCACUGAAUAGGUGCUUCCUACGUGUCUGUGGAAUAAAUAACUGUGACUCCUGUAUUGGGAAGGUUUUUCUAGAACACUGCUGAAACCUGGCUACACAUUAGAAUCCCUGGGGAAUUUCAAACACAUGGAUGCCUGGAUCUCAGUGCCAUGAAUUCUGACUUAACUGUUCUGAAAUGCAGUAUGGGCAUUAAUAUUUUUAAAAGUUUUCCAGGUGAUUCCAUGCGCAGCGCCUGCAUUUGAGAACUGGAACACCAAGUUUCCUUCUAGGUCCAAGAUGAUAAGUACGUGUUAUAAAGUCAUUUACACGCUAGUAUAAAUUUCAGUCAGAGGUAUUUCGUGCACUGUGUGAUAUAUGAUUUGUGGCUGAAUAAGCGGUUUUAAAAAUGUCAUCUCAGAGUUCAGCCACGUUUCCUUUAUAAGCAGCAGAAAGUGUUCGGGUGAGUCAGUGAAGCCUUUCUGCUGAGGGUGAAUGAUCCAGCAGCAUCCGUGGAAGCGGGGCAGGUGGGUUGAGUAAGCCCAGCCCGGGUGCAGAAACUUCUGGGGCUUCAGAAUUAAAACAGGAGCGGAAGCGGGGCAAGUGGGUUCACUAAGCCCAGCCCAGGUGCAGAAACUUCUGGGGCUUCAGAAUUAAAACAGGAGCGGAAGCGGGGCAAGUGGGUUCACUAAGCCCAGCCCGGGUGCAGAAACUUCUGGGGCUUCAGAAUUAAAACAGGAACGUCCAUUGGAUGGGAGAGGCCUAGCCCCGGACUCAGGGGGUUCCAGUCUGAUGAGGGAGGCACAGCCCGUGCUCCCAGGAGGAUCCUAGUCUAGAGAGAGCCCUCGCCACUCUCAGCCUCAGCCAGGGUUUCAGAGAGCGCCCUCUCUGCUCUCAGCUUCACCCAGGGUUUCAGAGAGAGCCCUCGCCGCUCUCAGCCUCAGCCAGGGUUUCAGAGAGAGCCCUUGCCGCUCUCAGCCUCAGCCAGGGUUUCAGAGAGAGCCCUCGCCGCUCUCAGCUUCACCCAGGGUUUUCCAAUUUACAGCAUGCUUUUCUCAUCCUCAGCAAGUGAUUGGUCUAAUGAGGUGCAGCCCUUCCACUCUUGGGGAACUCUGUAGAAUUCUCUCCAGGAUUCCCAGGCCGAUGGAAGAUGUGAUUCCAGAGUGUCCUUGGGGAGUCGUUGCUCUGAUGCCUCCCACAGUCCCCACCCUCUGGUGUCUGAGCAGGGGGCAGGGAGGCCUAGUCCCUGUUCCCUGGGAGCCCCUGGGGCUACUGUGGGAGUCAGCAACCGCACGCUCCUCUCGCACACCCAGCUGUAAUCAUCUCCUUGGUUGUCUGUCUCCUUCCCUGGAACACGCGUUCCUAAUGUGCAGGGACUCUGUGUUCCCUUUCUCUGGAUCCCCAGAAGGUUUGCUGACUGACCGAUGGACCAACUCAGUAAAUGAAUGGAUGACCUGGUCUGACGGUGGGAGCUGCAUUCAGACCUGCAGGGUGGCAAUGCCCCGCUCCUUUGGACAGCCUCAGAGCCCUCCCGCCCCCUCCUGAGAGUCCCUGAGUUUCUGAAGAGGAUUGCACACACUCUUGCAGGUCUCAUCCCAGCUGUGUCGCCGGCGGUCGAUGUGAUGUCCACGAUGACGCUGCGGGCAGGACCUCAGCAUCCCAGUGGAACGGACCCCUGUCCUCCACUCCCAUCCCCUGCUGCCCCCAGGCUAAGGGAGAGCAUCCCGGACCCGGCGAGGGACGAAACGCAUUAGCUCUCUGCAAAAGUGGCUGAGAGAUCCUCCACCGUGAGGUGACCUGCUUCCAGGAGGAUCUGUUUGUCCUUCAGAGUAGAAAUAAAUAGAAACUGACUCUUAUACCCGGCGGCAGGCUCCGGCUCCCAGAAGGCACUGCCUGAGUGUUCUGUGCUCAAUGGUGGUCUUGUGCUCUGGGCGGGGGGUCUGGAAACCCUGGUUGAUGUGACCUGAGUCGGGACAAAGUCGGACGAGGUCACAGCGCGUCAGGGAGGGGCUGUGACGGUGGCCAAGCCUCUCGGCUCCUGGCAGCUGCCUGUUGGCAGAGUCUAACAUUUAGCCGGAUUUGGCUCACAGUUGGAAGGACGUAGGGUUGGCAAGAGAACCCAGGAGUCCUGAUCCAAGUUAUCCUUUUUUCUUUUUUUUUUUUUUAAGUUUUGGGCCUCACCUCAUGGUGCGUGAGGGGCUUCCCUGGUGGCUCGGGCAGUAAAGAAUCCGCCUGCCCACGCAGAAGACACAGGCUGCAUCCCUGGGUCGGGAAGAUCCCUUGGAGGAAGGCAUGGCAACCCACUGCAGUAUUCUUACCUGGAGAAUCCCAUGGACAAGAGGAGCCUGGCGGGCUGCAGUCCAUGGGGUUGGGGGGUCGGACAGGACUGAGCGACGAGCACGCGUGCACAGCAUAUGAGAUCUUAGCGCUCCGACCAGGAAUCAGCCCCCACCCCCCGCGGUGGACCCCCAGGGGAGUCACGACCCGGGCUGUACUGGGGGUUCCCACCCUGAGCUGGUCUUUAGGGAAACAAGGUGGUGGGAAGGCCCGCCCACUGCCCUGGGACCCCCAUGAGGCCAGGCCUCGGGUCCACCAAGUAGUUGGCCUCGGACUGCGCGGGGCCCUGGCUGCCUGGGAGGUGUCUGGGCUCGUGGUGGGGUCUUGCCAGAGAGUUCUGAAAACAGGAAGGCCUGUGUGAUGAUCAGGGCCUAGUGCAAAGUGAGAGCGUGGGCCCCUCUCCAGAAGUUACUAAGAAUGUCAGGACGACGGGCACAGGACGUGAUUCCAGGCAAGGGCUCUGUGCACACUUCCCACGCUCCCCAAAAACCACUGUCUUCUUUUCUCGGGGCUCCUGGAACAAAGUCUCACAAGCCAGGUGGCUCUCAGUAACAGAUUCGUAUCGUCUCCCCAUCUGGAGGCUGGAUGUGUCGGGAGGGUCGGUCCCUUCCAGGGCUUUGGGGGAGUGUCUGUCCCAGGCCUUGUUCCCAGCUCCCGAGGUCUGGCUGGCAGUCUGUGGGUCCCCUUGGCUUGGAGCAGCAGCGCCCCGGUCUCUGCCUUCGCACGCUGUCCUCUCCCUGAGGAUUUAUGUGUCAGUGUCCCCUCUUGAGAGGACCCCCGGUCGUGUUGGGUUAGGGCCCACCCUAACGACCCCAUUCUAACUUGAUUACCUCUGUCAACACCCUGCUUUCAAAGACGAUCACGUUCUGAGAUACCGAGGGUCAGGACUUCAAAUAUUUGGGGGGAAGGUGCAAUUCUGCCGGUGGUCCUGGCCCGGCUGGAAGGCUGCCUCUAUUCCGGCUCAGCUGGCGGGGUUUACUGACUUGUCCGUGCCUGGCUCCCCCGGGGCAGGUGAAGAGGCCCUGGGUGAACCCCCUGUCCCCACGGAACCUCCUGGUGGGAGACAGGGUGGCCCUCAGGUCCUGGUGGCUGGCGGCCUCUGCUCAGCCUUGGGAGGGCUGGGGGAUCCGCCUUGGGGGGCAGAGACCCUGUGUAUCCCCCCGCUCUGUCUGUGGGGCCCAGUUGUCACGUGACGGCCACCAGGUCCCUGCCUGCUGUGGUGCCCUCCCUUCCCGUCCCGUGAGGGGGCUCUGGGGAGUGA
ensembl:lncRNA